GCGCCGCAUCUCUAUGGCGGCCCCAACGGCCGUCCGGGGCGCGGAGCGCGAUGAACGAGGGCGCGGACGACGGCGGCGGUGGCGGCGCGGAAGGCGCGGCGCGGUCCCUAGGGUGCGGCCGCGGAGGGGAUGGCUUUGUCCCGUCUGCGCUGGGGACCCGAGAGCAUUGGGAUGCUGUCUAUAAGAGAGAACUGCAAACUUUCCAAGAAUACGGAGAUACAGGAGAAAUCUGGUUUGGAGAAGAGAGUAUGACUCGACUAAUAAGGUGGAUGCAGAAACAUAAGAUUCCAUUGGAUGCUUCAGUGCUUGAUAUUGGAACUGGAAAUGGUGUUUUCCUGGUUGAACUUGCAAAAUUGGGUUUCUCUGAUGUUACUGGAAUUGAUUACUCUCCGUCUGCAAUACAGCUUUCUGGAAGUAUUAUAGAAAAAGAAGGUUUAUCUAACAUUAAGUUGAAGGUAGAAGACUUUUUGAACCCUUCUGCAAAGUUGUCUGGAUAUCAUAUUUGUAUUGACAAAGGGACUUUUGAUGCCAUAAGCCUUAAUCCUGACAAUGCAGUUGAGAAGAGGAAGCAGUAUGUGAAAUCUCUCUCCAGAGUAUUGAAAGUGAAAGGCUUUUUUCUAAUAACCUCAUGUAAUUGGACCAAGGAAGAGCUGCUAGAUGAAUUCAGUGAAGGAUUUGAACUUUUUGAAGAGCUGCCCACACCCAAGUUCAGCUUUGGAGGCCGAUCUGGAAACAGUGUAGCAGCGUUGGUUUUCCAAAAAACAUGAGACUUUUCACUGGACAGAUUCAGUUAGUGUCUUUUUAAGAAGCUCUACAUCAAAGUACAUCUGACACAGAAAAUGCAAGUGCAAGUAAAUGUUUACAUCUUGCCCCUACUCUGUGGAUUUUCAUGAUGAAAUAAAUUUACAUCCACUGGAGCAGCACUAAUUGGGUUUUCCUUCCAUGUCCUCAACAAGAAGUCUCACUGGAGUCUGAAUGGGGAAAAUCCUAAUAUGGUAUUUAAUACAACAUACCGGGCUGAAUUAAAGAGCUUUUUGCAAAUUUUGGGAGACAGGCCUGAAAUUCUGGGAUUGCCAUGGACUGGGUGGCUCAAACAACAGGACUUUAUUUUUCAUAGUCUGAAGACUGGAAAUUCCAACAUCAAGGUGCCGACAAGCUUCCUUUACUCAGAGCCCUUCCAUGCAGUGAGUUGCAAGCGUGACAUUUGCUGUGUUUUCAGCACCUGCCAACUUGGGAACCAGGGUUUGUGCUCAGGACUCAGGCUUCCAGCCCACACUCUGUGGUGCACAAUGCCGUCCCAGCUGGCGAGCUUCGUACCUCAGUGGCGCUAGACGUUCAGUUACAAAGCUGUGCAGACUCACAUGCGCUGAUUUCAAUAGGCAGUCCCCUUCAAGCUGCUUUCAACUCUUAUUUUGUAUCAAAAGAGUUAGAUUGGUAUCAUUAAAUUCACUGCUGUGCUUAUUUUUCAAUGAAAAUAAAUUCAUUUUCUUU